rnacentral:rRNA from 1 species
GAUCCUGGCUCAGGAUGAACGCUGGCGGCGUGCUUAACACAUGCAAGUCGAACGGGAAUUACUUUAUUGAAACUUCGGUCGAUUUAAUUUAAUUCUAGUGGCGGACGGGUGAGUAACGCGUGGGUAACCUGCCUUAUACAGGGGGAUAACAGUCAGAAAUGGUUGCUAAUACCGCAUAAGCGCACAGAGCUGCAUGGCUCAGUGUGAAAAACUCCGGUGGUAUAAGAUGGACCCGCGUUGGAUUAGCUUG